rnacentral:lncRNA from 1 species
AAGGAUCAUUCACUGGAAGAUGAACCUCUGACUCGGCCCGCUUAGAUGGCCCUACAAUCUCUCGCUCCAUGGGCAUCGGCCCCUUAUCCUUUCUGCCAGUCCCUGGUCCAACCACUGUAUCCUCAGCUCCCACAACGGCCUCUGCCUCCACUCUAACUGAGGAAUCCUUCGCAUCUUCCCAAGCUCCACUCAUCCCAAGCACUAAUCCGG